UUCCAGUCCAGAACUCCCAACACUCCCUUCUUCUCUCCUGUCUCAUGAAGAACAAUACAAAAUUAUAUUCCCCUGAGUGAUUUCUCUUUCUUCCCAUUUUGAGGCAGCAACAUGGCUGCCCACAGAGGUUCCCCCAGGGCUUCAAGGACAUCAAUUAAUUCAGUAGCUAGGCGAAAGGAAUAAUGAAGCUUUCAACCAUGAUACAACUGAGAAGAUUUCAGCAUCCACAUAGAAAGAAAAGCAGGGCAAUGCACCCUCCAAGCUUAGGAAGGAGGCAGCCAGAGAACUCCUGGCUCCUUUGUGGGGCUUCACUGAGAAGAUGAACCUGCCAAUGAGGUGUGCAGAGAACUUUGGCUGCACAAGUUAAGAGGAAGAGGCUGAGUCUCAGCUCAGAGAGUGCUGGUAAUGCCAAGCACAGCAGAGCUGCCAGAGGGAUCUACUUGGAAUCUGGGGAGGCCCUGGGGAGACUAACUGGUACAAUUUAAAGAGAUGCAAAGCAAAUGAUAUGCGGGGCAAUCAUGUGAAAAGCCUGCUGCCUUACAGGAUGGACUCCAGCUGCUCAGCGGGACCGGCUGUUGGGGGCUGGGUUUUGGGAGGGUAAGAGGGCCCCGGAUGGAGUGAUGGACACUCUAACUCACUACUCCACCGUGCAAUACAGUCCAGAUUGUUCAACAACUCUGAGAAUAAAUGCUCUUUUUAAAAAAAUUGGUGUCAAAUCUACUGUACUGGGUUGAUGUGAAAUUGAAAUUGAAAUAAGUUGUAUAUAAAAUGUCUGGCACAUAGUAGUGAUCAAUAAAUAUUAAUCCCUUCCCCAGACCAAUGCUGUAUCUCCAUUUCCGGGGCACAUACCACAUUGUCUAAAUCAAUGUUUUAUUCACUCAUACAUCAAAGAUAAUGGAAACACUUAUAUUUUAGAAAGAACUUACUGUACAUUUUAUAUUCUUUUUGGUAAAUUGAAUAAACACUCUUCAGAGAUAUAUAAAC
rnacentral:lncRNA from 1 species